rnacentral:rRNA from 1 species
AUUGAACGCUGGCGGCAGGCUUAACACAUGCAAGUCGAGCGGAGAUGAGGUGCUUGCACCUUAUCUUAGCGGCGGGCGGGUGAGUAAUGCUUAGGAAUCUGCCCAUUAGUGGGGGACAACAUUCCGAAAGGAAUGCUAAUACCGCAUACGUCCUACGGGAGAAAGCAGGGGAUCUUCGGACCUUGCGCUAAUAGAUGAGCCUAAGUCGGAUUAGCUAGUUGGUGGGGUAAAGGCCUACCAAGGCGACGAUCUGUAGCGGGUCUGAGAGGAUGAUCCGCCACACUGGGACUGAGACACGGCCCAGACUCCUACGGGAGGCAGCAGUGGGGAAUAUUGGACAAUGGGGGGAACCCUGAUCCAGCCAUGCCGCGUGUGUGAAGAAGGCCUUAUGGUUGUAAAGCACUUUAAGCGAGGAGGAGGCUACUGAGACUAAUACUCUUGGAUAGUGGACGUUACUUGCAGAAUAAGCACCGGCUAACUCUGUGCCAGCCGCCGCCGUAACAC